rnacentral:rRNA from 1 species
UUAAGCCAUGCGAGUCGAACGAGUUUAGGCUCGUGGCGUACGGCUCAGUAACACGUGGAUAACCUACCCUUAGGACCGGGAUAACCUUGGGAAACUGAGGAUAAUACUGGAUAGGCAAUUAUUUCUGCAAUGGUUUUUUGUUUAAAUGUUUUUUUCGCCUAAGGAUGGGUCUGCGGCCGAUUAGGUAGCUGGUUAGGUAAAGGCUUACCAAGCCGUUGAUCGGUACGGGUUGUGAGAGCAAGAGCCCGGAGAUGGAACCUGAGACAAGGUUCCAGGCCCUACGGGGUGCAGCAGGCGCGAAACCUCCGCAAUGUGAGAAAUCGCGACGGGGGGAUCCCAAGUGCCAUUCUUAACGGGAUGGCUUUUCAUUAGUGUAAAGAGCUUUUGGAAUGAGGGCUGGGCAAGACCGGUGCCAGCCGCCGCGGUAA